GCAUAUCAAUAAGCGGAGGAAAAAGAAACCACAGGGAUUGCCUCAGUAACGGCGAGUGAAGCGGCAACAGCUCAAAUUUGAAAUCUGGCUCUUUCAGGGUCCGAGUUGUAAUUUGUAGAAGAUGCUUCGGGUGUGGCUCCGGUCUAAGUUCCUUGGAACAGGACGUCAUAGAGGGUGAGAAUCCCGUACGUGACCGGUGGCCUUCGCCCAUGUGAAGCUCUUUCGACGAGUCGAGUUGUUUGGGAAUGCAGCUCAAAAUGGGUGGUAUGUUUCAUCUAAAGCUAAAUAUUGGCCAGAGACCGAUAGCGCACAAGUAGAGUGAUCGAAAGAUGAAAAGCACUUUGGAAAGAGAGUUAAACAGUACGUGAAAUUGUUGAAAGGGAAGCGCUUGCAAUCAGACUUGCACGCCGUCGAUCAUCCGAGGUUCUCCCCGGUGCACUCGGCGGUGUUCAGGCCAGCAUCGGUCUAGGUGGUUGGAUAAAGGCCCUAGGAAUGUGGCUCCUCUCGGGGAGUGUUAUAGCCUAGGGUGUAAUGCAGCCUACCUGGACCGAGGACCGCGCUUCGGCUAGGAUGCUGGCGUAAUGGUUGUAAGCGACCCGUCUUGAAACACGGACCAAGGAGUCUAACAUCUAUGCGAGUGUUUGGGUGUCAAACCCAUACGCGUAAUUAACGUGAACGGAGGUGAGAACCCUUAAGGGUGCAUCAUCGACCGAUCCUGAUGUCUUCGGAUGGAUUUGAGUAAGAGCAUAACUGUUGGGACCCGAAAGAUGGUGAACUAUGCCUGAAUAGGGUGAAGCCAGAGGAAACUCUGGUGGAGGCUCGCAGCGGUUCUGACGUGCAAAUCGAUCGUCAAAUUUGGGUAUAGGGGCGAAAGACUAAUCGAACCAUUGCCACUAGGUGGUUAAGAGGCCGCGCGACCGCGGACCUAGUCCUUUAUACGGGCUACACUAUCAAAUUGACGGGGACCUCCCGCGAAGUUCCAGGCUACCGCAGCCGUCUCGAAAGAGCGGUGCGCACCGUGGGUAACACCCGCGGGGAUGGUAAGAAUGCCUGGAUAGGGACAAUCCGCAGCCAAGUCCUACCGGCGCGCCGGCCCACGGACGCAGUUCACAGACUAAAUGGUAGUGGGCAGGGCCUGUCACGGCCCUGUCUAAGUUAUAGUCGAUCCACCGGAGACCG
rnacentral:rRNA from 1 species